GCAAUAAUACACACGAAAUUAAUGUAAAUUAAAAAAGAAGAAGAAGAAAAGCCAAGUUAAGCACUGUCCUUUGUUAAAGCAAACCCAGAAAGUCCUUAAAAUAGGAAUUCCUGAAAUUGGGCAAAAAACCCCAACAAAUUGUAUUAUUUUCACGUGAACCACAUAGAACCACUGCCAAGUCAAAAAUAGAAUUUGCCAGCCGCCGAGACAUUUCUCCCUUUAGCUCACUCAGCCUCAACUCCUCUCUGCACCAAAAUGAACUAGGGACUGACUUCCUCGGUUUAUUCCCAGACACUCUCCUCCCAUGUAUUUAUGUAGGAGAAGGAACUCAAGAAGUUGUCUAUGGCACACCCUCAUUCCAUCCCUGGGAGAUUCUGGGCUUGUGAUUCACUGCUGAGCCACAUUCCAAGCCCCUCACAAAAAGACUUCAGGCAAAGGCUCUACCACUGAGCUAUGCCCCCAGCCUCUCACGGGGUGGGGGUGGGGGGAUGGGGGUGGGAGUGGGAGAUUUUAGGCAGGGCUUCUAGCCACGUCCCAGCCACUCACUGGGGGAUUCGAGGCGGGGGCUCUACCCCUGAGCCACACCCAUAGUCCUCACGGGUGGUUUCUAGGCUUUCUCUCCAUUGUUGAAACCUUCCCCCCAACCACAGUGUGAUAUGUACACAGCAUGUUAUGGGAAAAUCAGGGUAAUUGGCUCACCCAUCUCUUCAGGCACAUAUGGCUUCUGUGGAGGCAGGCAGGAAGGGACAAAGAAUCCCACCUCCAUGACUUUGCCAGCAGUGUCGUCCAGCAUUAGGACUUUUGCUGUGAUUAGGUGACAAGACAAAUGGGAUAUCAGGGAAGUCUUUACCUUCUUUUCGUCCCCUCUGUGGGUGCUGCAGUCCCUGGAGGAGUGGUCGAUGGUGAGGGAGGCUUCCAUACAGCCC
rnacentral:lncRNA from 1 species